AGUUUGUAACAGUUGAUCUUUGGUACAUUCUCUGUGGCAUAAAUUUUGCAUAUUUUGUCAUAUUUAAAUUUUAUAUGAGCUCAAAAGGAGAUAAAAGUUGGCCUGAUUUUUUCAGAUGACAGGUCUGAAACUCAGAGAAUUACGAAGUUAAUUCGUGCCAUAACUUGAACAGUUUUCUGGAUGCAAGCACAUGUGAUUUCUACUACAACCACAGCUGCUGGGAAGGGAAGAAAGACAUUUGUUGAGUGCCGACAAUGUGUCAGAGGCCCAGAGAAAACCAUUGUUCCAGCAGUACUUCAUAGGCCAAGGCAGAAGACAGAGAGAAGGGACACCCACAAGUCCAGUCAGGGAUUACAAUGACAUCCAUGGACCACCUCAAUCUAAGCCAAUUAGAGAUAAUUCGGUGGUGGCAGCUGAGUUUUGAAUAUAAAACAUUACAACAUUAACUAGAGGAGACUAUGGCCCUGGAGUCUGAAAAUGUGUGGGAAAGGUGAGUUAUUUAUUUAUUUUAUUUAUAUCGAGUUUUGGAUGCUAGUUUAGUACCUUGUGUGGAUGGGUCUGGGAGAGGCAUUAUUGUGGUUAUGCUGAUCAUUAUAGCUCCAGAUCAUCAAAACAGCCAACUCGUUUUAAAUCUAGAACUGCAAGCUGGGCACAGGAUUACACCUGUAAUCCCACUUACUUGGGAUGUUGAGGUAGAAGGAUGGCUUGAGGCCAGGAGUCCAAGUCCAGCCUGGGCAACAUACUAAGACCCCAUCUCUCAAAAGAAUUCCAGAAAUACACAGCCAAGCAUUCUGGGGACUAUUGCAAGAUUCAGGUACCACUAUCAAGAAGAGUUGACUGCUGAUGUGGAAAUCCAGCAGGUUAAGUAUAGGAAAUCCAGCAGGUAAAUGUAUCUCCAGAGGAGAUAGUGGUCACAGCCUUGAUGACAGUAGGCACUGAUGUCCGAGGAGGAGGAAAGUAGGACAUAGGAAGACUGGGGCAACAAAUGGUUCUCUUAAGAACAGCAUAGGUGAAGUACAAGGGACAGGAUUCUUCCCAGCUGCCAUACUGAAAGAACUAGAAAGAACCCCACAAAAUUUCAGGUCUUCCAUCAAGCCAGGUUAGGUUUUGCACAGUUUUCAGGUUUAGUGAGGGGCUAUCAGGCCAGAUGGGAAAAUAGAGUCAUUCAAGAAAGAUUCAGUGUUGUGGUCAAUAUGGGAAAAUGGUGACUUGUAAGGACAUUGCCAGGAUUAGCCCUGUUUCAGGGAACCAGAUUUACUAGGACCCACAGGUGGUGGGAAUAGGCAUUGCUAUGUGCUCCCUGUUGUGAUAAGGCUAUUCUAGAAAUUCAGGAAGGUUGAAAAGGAAAGUGGCAGGGAUCAAACUGAUCGUUGCUCUGCAAACAUAAAAGGAGUUCUUUGGGCUGGGCACGGUGGCUCACGCCUGUAAUCUCAGCACUUUGGGAGGCCAAGGUGGGUAGAUCACAAAGUCAGGAGUUCAAGACCAGCCUGGCCAAGAUGGUUAAACCCCAUCUCCACUAAAAAUACAAAAAAAAAAAAAAAUUAGCCAGGCAUGGUGGUGGGGGACUGAAAUCCCAGCUACUUGGGAGGCUGAGGCAGAGAAUUGCUUGAACCCGGGAGGCGGAGGUUGCAGUGAGCUGAGAUCAUGCCACUGCACUCCAGCCUGGGUGACAGAGCGAGACUCUGUCUCAAAAAAAAAAAAAAAAAAAAAAAAGGAGUUCUUUGUUUCUGCAUCAGAAGCCACAAAAUACUUAUUUCCAUAUUUCUUCACUUGUAGACCACCUAUACUUUAACAUUUUAACAUCUUUGAAAUCAGGGCCCAUCUUAGUGAUGUCUCACAGUUUAAUUGACAGUAAUUUUUCUUGCUUAGUAACACCAUAUAAUGGUACUUCUUGCAAUAAAAUAUGUCUAACAGUUGAUCAAGUGUCAGACAUCUGCUAUGACGUAAAUAAUCAAACCAAACCAACUAAAACCAAACAAAAACAAGUUGAAUGAGAUAUCUGCAUCCAGUGAAAAAGAAUCCAAAAUUUCUUAUGACAGAGGGACCGAAAGAAGGACUCUAGGAAACCCUGAGAUGAAGAUAAAACAUUUUUUUUAAAAAAAGGAUUUUGCUGAGAGACUAAUACAUUAUUUGAUUAAAAUGAAUUCUUACAAAUUGUUUAUCAAUUUAUAAUGUAUACCUAUAAGAUCAGCAGCAGUAAAGAGCACGUUUUAUUUUAAUUUCAAUUAAUAGAGCAAAGAAAGGAUGCAAAUUGGAGCAUGAGAUUAGACUACAGGCCUAGAGUGCAGGAUGUUUGUGGGAGAAGUUUCUCACUCCAUUAAAUUAUAAAGAUGGAAGAAUACUCAAGAGACCCCAUAAGAUGGAAUCUGUUUGAACAUAACGCUGGGAGAUUUCAAUCAUAAACGGGAAUCUCACAAUGAAAACUUUUCUUUUUAAAAAUCCAGCUUAGAUUGCAUUUUCCACUUUACAAAAUGUGUAUUGUUGAAAAGUCCUAUUCUACGUUGAUAAAAUGUUUUUAAGAAUGUGAGAUUUAAUAAGCCCUGGGCAAACCACUUUUAUGAAAUGAGCAAAUAUUCUCCAUUUAUCUAGCCUAUAAAUUUGAAUUGUCAGGUUAAUAUACACCUACACUUAAUAUAGUAAUGAUCAUGAUGAUAUAAAACCACCAAUUAGCUCUAGCUCUGUGAUCAGUCUUGUACAUAACAUAGUCAAAGAUAAAACACUCUUGGCCUUAAGGAGCUUGCAUUAUAAGUCAGAGAUAAAAUAUAAAGAGAGUUUGUAUUCACAGGAGACCAGAUCUGGAAAGGCCUAGAGAUGGGAGUGAAAAUGCCUUCUGAGUUGGCAUGAGAGGAAGGCCAUAGUAUUAUUUAGUGAUAUUUUCCUUUUGUGUCAUGAAAACAGACUGUCAUUUAGCCUUCCCAACUAAGAUCUCAGGUUUUGCGUGAUCUUCCUAGGAACACUGUGAUCUUUUCAACUGGCCUCUUGGCAAAUCAUCCUGGGCAGCAAGAUGGCUUCCCUCUCUGGGAUUUGAUGGCUACCUACAGAAUCUCUGGUGUCCUUAGGUAAUGGCCUCACGUGUCCAGUAGUUGUGUGCUGUCCUGGGGGUGAUUCUAGGAUCACUUUAAUCUCCAUGGAACUACAGAAAAACUAGAGUGGUAAACUGACCUCUACCUUUAAAAUUAAAAAAAAAAAAAAAAAGCAGAAGGCACAGGCUUGAUCUAGGGUAAACUGGGAACUUCAUUCCAACAGCAGAAAUGUUUCACCAGGAAGUGCUUCAUCGGUCUACAGAGAACAGAACUGUUAGCUUUCUACCACUCGACAAGGGUCCACUUCCUGGAAACACAAGCAACCUGAUGUCUGCGGGUGGUGGAGGAGCAGAAAACAGUGAAUAGACAAAGGAAAACAGCAACAUACUUAAGGGUCUCUGUCACCUGGGGCAGCUGGUAGAUCCAACAGAAGGAGAAUGAAUUGAAGAGUCAGAUACUUUUGACCAAGAAAACCGGAAAUGAGACAUCUCAAGUGGAUAGACUUAGAUCACAUGCAAAAACAAAAACAAAACCUCCUGGAAAGGUAAGAAGAAAUUUAAAAAUUUGAAAGUGUAAUAGAGGAACUGGUACAAUAUCAUUGUCAAGUUGGUGGCCUACAAGAGAAAGUUAAAUAAAUCCUCACAACACAAAGCCAAAACAUAGAGACAAAAGAGAUGGAAAUCUUUGGGGGAAAGAGAAGCAGUGUGAAGGAGAACCAUGAAGAGUAAGAGGAGAAAGAGGAGUGUGAGAAAAAGAAAGUGAACGCAGCAUCUGGGGAAUCAUUUGCUGGGUAGUUUUUCAGGUUCUUUUUGCUUUAGUAAGGCUUUUUUGGUUGUUGUUGUUUGUUUUGUUUUGCUUUAGAAUGGGUAAUAUAGGUGUGUCAUGAACCAAGGUUAUAAUUAAGCCACUUAUCUGCAGUUCAAGUCCCAGACCCCCCAAAGUUUUAAGUAAGGAUUGGAAUAGGUUAUAUUAGUAAAUGUAAAUAAAGAGACUCAUGCAGUGGCAGAAAAUUAAAAGUCCGGUGGCAGAAUGUAUGCCCGAAACAUCAAGCAGGACCAAGAAACUCAUCACAUAUAAUAAUCACUACCACUCACCAUGACCACAAAGUCACUAAAUGGCACAAAUUUUAUGUAUCAAACAACAUAAAGCAAAAUAGAUGUGGAAAAUCAUCUUGAGAUUGAUGGAGAAUUUAACUCUAAAAUGAUAUACUGGAUAAAUAAAAUGUGGGACAUCUAUACC
ensembl:lincRNA